rnacentral:rRNA from 1 species
CAGCCGCCGCGGUAAUACGUAGGGUGCAAGCGUUAAUCGGAAUUACUGGGCGUAAAGCGUGCGCAGGCGGUUAUAUAAGACAGAUGUGAAAUCCCCGGGCUCAACCUGGGAACUGCAUUUGUGACUGUAUAGCUAGAGUACGGCAGAGGGGGAUGGAAUUCCGCGUGUAGCAGUGAAAUGCGUAGAUAUGCGGAGGAACACCGAUGGCGAAGGCAAUCCCCUGGGCCUGUACUGACGCUCAUGCACGAAAGCGUGGGGAGCAAACAGGAUUAGAUACCCGCGUAGUCCUGUCUCUUAUACA